rnacentral:rRNA from 1 species
UGGGGAAUAUUGCACAAUGGGCGAAAGCCUGAUGCAGCAACGCCGCGUGAGUGAUGAAGGCCUUCGGGUUGUAAAGCUCUGUCUUUUGGGACGAUAAUGACGGUACCAAAGGAGGAAGCCACGGCUAACUACGUGCCAGCAGCCGCGGUAAUACGUAGGUGGCAAGCGUUGUCCGGAUUUACUGGGCGUAAAGGAUGCGUAGGCGGAUUUUUAAGUGAGAUGUGAAAACCCUAAGCUUAACUUGGGGACUGCAUUUCAUACUGGAAAUCUAGAGUGCGGGAGAGGAGAAUGGAAUUCCUAGUGUAGCGGUGAAAUGCGUAGAGAUUAGGAAGAACACCAGUGGCGAAGGCGAUUCUCUGGACCGUAACUGACGCUGAGGCAUGAAAGCGUGGGUAGCAAACAGGAUUAGAUACCCUGGUAGUCCACGCCGUAAACGAUGAGUACUAGGUGUAGGAGGUAUCGACCCCUUCUGUGCCGCAGUUAACACAAUAAGUACUCCGCCUGGGAAGUACGAUCGCAAGAUUAAAACUCAAAUGAAUUGACGGAGUCAUAGCUGUUUUCCU